rnacentral:lncRNA from 1 species
GUAAAACUCAGCAAUGAUAUUGAUAAAUACAAGAGAAGGUAGGCUGAAAUUACUGUAGGUGAGAUUGGAUCAAAACAAAAGAUAGCGUAGAAUAGUGAAAAAAUGACAGAUCAGCAGCACAGUUAUGCUUCACGAUCACAGCUCUGCUACAGCGCCACAUAUACAACCAUUGCCUCCAGUCACAGCACUUCUGACUUCCAAUGAUGAUGGCUCUACUCUUUUCCUCUUCCCCUGCACUGACUCCUGCUUAAUCUUUUUUUGUUGUUGUUUGUUUCUAGGUUGGUUUGUUUGUUUAUUUUUUCUAGUUACUAAGCAUCUAAUUUGAAUCAACUGUGGGAAAAGAAAGCAUUGAAGGUGCUGUGACACCUGGAAAUUGUCUGAAUGAAAACAAUUCUGAUACUUGUGUAGCAUUUGGUGUCUAUUGUAAAUCUGGCAAACCUGCCUAAAGAAAUGUGUACAGAACAGACGGAAUCUUUAACUUAUCUGCAGUGGCUCCACUGGCUAAACUUGCACUCUCUGCUAAUGGUCUGCCCUAACCAGAAAUAUGCUGAUGUCCAGCCACAUCUCUAAGACAAG